UACGUAGGGUGCGAGCGUUGUCCGGAAUUAUUGGGCGUAAAGAGCUCGUAGGCGGUUUGUUGCGUCGGCCGUGAAAACUUGGGGCUUAACCCCGAGCCUGCGGUCGAUACGGGCAGACUUGAGUUCGGCAGGGGAGACUGGAAUUCCUGGUGUAGCAGUGAAAUGCGUAGAUAUCAGGAGGAAUACCGAUGGCGAAGGCAGGUCUCUGGGCUGACACUGACGCUCAUGCACGAAAGCGUGGGGAGCAAACAGG
rnacentral:rRNA from 1 species